rnacentral:lncRNA from 10 species
CCGGGUACCAUUUUAUCCCUAAAACUCUGUUGACAUCAAAAUAUGACAGUUGUUAUAUCCAUAAAAUAUUUACAUAACUCGUCCCAAAAACUUGUCACGAUCAUCCUGACUUUUUAGGUUGGCUGAUCCAUCAAUCUUGCACUCAACUGUUACUUCUUUCCCAGUGUUGUUAGGAGCAAAGCUGACCUGAACAGCAACCAAUGGCUGUAGAUACCCAACCUGGCAAUAAAAGGAAAAUAUAUUAAUUCAAACUCUAUGGAAACUUAAUACUUCUCUCUACCAGGAAUUGGCUUAUUCUGUAAAUUUUCUUUUUGAGACUGUUGCCCAGGCUGCAGUGCAGUGGUGCAAUUAUGGCUCAUUGAAGCCUCAACCAAUCCUCCCACCUCAGUUUCCUAAGUAGCUGGGACUAUAGGCACAUGCCGCCACAGCCCACUAAUUUUUAAAUUUUUUUGUAGAGACAGGGUCUCCCUGCCCAGGCUAAUCUCAAACUCCUCGCUUCAAAUGGCCCUUCCACCUCACCCUCCCAAAGUGCUGGGAUUACAGGUGUGAGCCACCAUACGUGGCUUGUAAAUUAAAAAAAAAAUUUAGCUCUAUUAUUUUCUGUUCUCUGCAUUCUUUUUAAUUUUUUGGAGCUGUAAGUCCAUACCUGUAAUUACUGAUAAAAAUGUUGACUGGGUGUGACAGCUCAUGCCCCUGAGCUCAAGUGAUCCUCUUGCCUUGUCCUCCCAGAAUGCUAGGAUUACAGGUGUGAGCCACCACACCCGGCCUAUUAUCAUUAUUAUUAUUAAUUUUUUUGUGAGGCAGAGUCUUGCUCUGUUGCCCAGGCUGGAGUGCAGUGGCACGAUCCCGGCUCACUGCAACCUCUGACUCCCGGGUUCAAGUGAUUCUCCUGCCUCAACCUCCCAAGUAGGUGGGAUUACAGGCACCCGCUACCACGCCCAGCUAACUUUUGUAUUUUUAAUAGACGGGGUUUCACCAUGUUGGCCAGGAUAGUCUCGAUCUCCUGACCUCGUGAUCUGUCCACCUUGGCCUCCCAAAGUGCUUGGGAAUAUAUAGGCAUGAGCCGCCACACCCGACCCUUAUCAUUAUUUUUUAAUAUUCUUUUUUGAAAUGGAGUAUGUUGCCCAGGUUGGAAUGCAGUGGCACCAUCUCAGCUCAUUGCAACCUCCACCUCCCAGGUUCAAGCGAUUCCCCUGCCUCAGCCUCCCAUGUAGCUGGAGUCACGGGUGCCCACCACCAUACCCAGCUAAUUUUUUUAUUUUUAGUAGAGACAGGGCUUUGCCAUUGCUACUGAAGUUGGCCAGGCUGGUCUCGAACUCCUGACCCCAGAUGAUCCACCUACCUCGGCCUCCCAAAGUGCUGGGAUUACAGGCGUGAGCCACUGCACCUGGCCUUUUUUUUUUUUUUUUUGAGACAUUGCAUUCUGUUGCCAGGCUGGAGUGCAAUGGUGCAAUCUCGGCUCACUGCAACCUCUGCCUUCCUGGUUCAAGUGAUUCUCCUGCCUCAGCCUCCUGGGUAGCUGGGAUUACAGGAGUGUGCCACCACGGUCAGCUAAUUUUUGUAUUUUUAGUAGAGACAGCGUUUCACCAUGUUGGUCAGGCUGGUCUCGAACUCUCCACCUCAGGUGAUCCGCCUGUCUCAGCCUCCCAAAGUGCUGGGAUUACAGGCGUGAGCCACCGUGCCAGGCAGUAACGAGCUUUUUAAUUUUCUCCCCACAUGAUACUUAUUGAUGACAGAGGAAAAAAAGUAUAUUGUAGAAACCUCGCUCAUACCACCUUAACCAAGGAAUCAAGGCAGUAUCACCAUUAACGGAAUGAAAUGAUACCAUGUCCCUCCUGACACUCUGAGAACUCAACAUUUCUUUUGAGGCACUCAUGCCAAAAUGCACAACCUAUAUUUAAUCAUGAAAAACCACCAAACUCCAACUAAUGAACAUAAAAUAAGCCAUAAAAGGCCCGUACUUAUUUUUGAAGAGUACAAAGCCAUGAAACAGACUGAGGAAAUAUUCCUGAUUAUAGGUUGCUAAACGUGUUAACAGUGUGACAUCUGGGAUCAGGAAAACACUUGUCUUUCACUAUAAAGAGUAUUACUGGAACAAUUGAUGGAUUUUCAACAAAGUCUACAGAUUCAUAAGAGCACUAUAUGUUAACUUCCUUUGUUAACUGUACUACUGUCUUUGUUUUCUGUUGCUUAUAACACAAUACUUGAAACUGGGUAAUUUAUAAAGAAAGGAAUUUAUUUCUUACAGUUAAUGGAGGCUGAGAAGGCCAAGAUCAAGGAGCUGCAUCUGGUGAGAACCUUCUUUGCUGCUGGGUACUUUCAACAGAGUCCUGAGGUGGUGCAAGGCAUCACGUGGCCAGGGGGCUGAGCAUGCUAACCUGCUAGCUCAGGUCUCUCUUCCUCUUCUUAUAAAGCCGCUAGUCCCACUCCUAUGAUAACUCAUUAGUCCACUAACCUAUUUUUUUUUUUUUUGAGAUAGAGUCUUGCUUUGUUGCCCAGGCUGGAGUGCAAUGGUGCAGUCUUGGCUCACUGCAAUCUCUGCCUCCCAGGUUGAAGCGAUUCUCCUGCCUCAGUCUCCCGAGUAGCUGGGAUUACAUGCACCCACCACUAUGCCCGGCUAAUUUUUGUAUUUUCAGCAGAGACGGGGUUUCACUAUGCUAGUCAGGCUGGUCUAGAACUCCUGACCUCAGGUGAUCUGCCCGCCUCGGCCUCCCAAAAUGCUGCGAUUGCAGGCGUGAGCCACCACACCCGGCCGCAAUGAGCUUUUGAUUUUUUUUCUUUUUUGAGACAGAGUCUCGCUCUGUUGCCCAGGCUGGAGUGCAGUGGCACAAUCUCGGCUCACUGUAACCUCCGACUCCCAGGUUCAUGCCAGUCUCCUGCCUCACCCUCUCGAGCAGCUGGGACUACAGGUGCCUGCCACCACGCCCAGCUAAUUUUUUGUAAUUUUUAGUAGAGACGGGGUUUCACCGUGUUAGCCAGGAUGGUCUUGAUCUCCUGACCUCGUGAUCUGCCCGACUCGGCCUCCCAAAGUGCUGGGAUUACAGGUGAGCCACUGCGCCUGGCCUUGAUUUUCUUUUCAUUUAUUUUUUUGGUGGGGGAAACAGAAUCCCAUUCUGUCACCCAACCUGGAGUGUGGUGGUACAAUCUUGGCUCACUGCAACCUCCACCUCCUGGGUUCAAGCGAUUCUCCUGCCUCAGCCUCCCGAGUAGCUGGGACUACAGGCACAUGUCACCACGCCCAGCUAAUUUUUGUAUUUUUAGUAGAGAGGGGGUUUCGCCAAGUUGGCCAGGCUGGUCUCAAACUCCUGACCUCAGGUAAUGCGCCCGCCUUGGCCUCUCAAAGUGCUGUGAUUACAGGAGUAAGCCACCGCACCCGGCCUUGAUUUUCUUUUUAAGUACUUUUCUACUUUCUCUACAUAAGCACCUACUACUACCUCUAUAAUGAAAAAGAAAAUGAUAUUUUAGAAAUAAUCAUCUAACUUUAACGUAUCUGCUUGGGUUCUGUGUUCUGAAUUGUAAAUGUGGGAACUCCAUUUACCAUCACCAUUAAAAUAAAACAAAACCUGAAUAGAUGACGCACAAAUUAAACAGGGCUGGCGUCUACCUACCCCAGACAAGUGGUACGUCAACACAUGCUCCAGCUUCCCAAAAGAGUAAUCACCACAUAAGAACUUCUCAAUACUUACAUGCAGUUUUUUCCCAUAAUAUGGGAAAUAUUUUAAGUCUAUCAUUCCAUUAUGAGGAUAAACUGCUACAUUUGGUAUAUCUUCAUUCUGAAGUUGAAAACAAAAGAAAUCCUCUUUAGGUCACAAAAAGAAUUUGUAAAAACUAUGUUUAUAAUUAAAGGAAUAUCAAUCAUGAACAGUUUGCAGAAACUACAAUGCUGCUCCAACUAUAUUAUCAUUACAAGUGUAUUUCUGAGAAGAAGCUUGCUCAUCUUGAUUGCAAAUAUUAUCUAACUAACCCCUUCCACAUGAACUAUCCUGAUACUUACACUUCCAGAUACACUCUAUACUCUCUUUCAUGAGAGUCCCUUCUUUAACUCAUGUACUCCUGUAAAAUCUUAUCUGCCCUCCAAAUACCAAAUGCCAGCCUUUCUACCUACUAACAGCAGGAAUGCACCAGCAGGUUUAGGACCGAUGUUUUCCUGAAAUGAAUAAAAUGCUGUGCUUCCAGACUGGAAAGCAACAGCCACCACAAGGUGCCAACCUAGAAUGCAGCACUCAGGCCUGGGAGACAGCAGGUGUGAGUUUCAUGUGAUUAAUAACCAGAACUGCAACCAGAGGGGAAGCAUGAAGGAAAAUUUAAGGUACUACAAGCAAAACUCUCCUCGACAAAUUUAAAUACUGUAUCAGGAAUAAAUUUAUGAGCAUAUAUAAAUCAUUAAGUAUUACUUGUCUACUAGAAUUCCAUGUUUAUCAACAUACAAAUCAAGCAUCACCUGUAAUCCAAUUAAUUCAUGCUAUUAGUUAUUUCUAGUAUUAUUCAUGAUAAAUAAGCAAUUUAUGAAAAUUCACAUGUAACACUUUCUAAAUGGGCCUAAUUCUAAUGAGUGUAACUUUAACACAGACUGAGAAGUAGCAAACAGACCACAAUGAUUAAAAUCAGUGCUGGGCUUACGGAACACUAGUUAAAAUAAAACAUUAUUAAAUACUUGAAUUUUAUAUAUAUAUAAAAAAAUUUUUUUGAGACAGGGUUGAAAGCAUGCAUGAAACAGCAUAAAGCAAAACUAAGAAUCCACUCUAAGGAGUUCUAGAUUCUGCUCAUUUCAUUUCAUUAUGAAGCAGCAUAUGGCUGUGGGGUGGGGUGAGAGACAGAUGAAAGGCACCGGCCAGACAGCACAAAGGACAGAGUGAUGAUGCGCCCCACCCACCAGACAAGCUCUAAUGAUCCAGAUGAUGAAUAUGUGGAAAGGGUAGGAAGUAACAACGCUAGGAGAAAUCGCAAAAGCCAUUUUCAAUCACUACUCAAACUCCACCCUACAUUUGUACUCUUUAACUUAAAAAAUAAGCUUAAAAUCAAAGAUAACAUUUUAUAUUAGAGAAAAACUAGUCACUCUGAUAUCAGUGCUUUUCUGCAUUAAUUGCUUUUGUUGAACCUAUUUUACCUUAAUAUAUGACCUUCACAGAACACAUUUCCGCAAAAUGAAAAAAAGGAUUUUUUUUGAGAAACAGUUUACUGAGUAUCUUGGAGUAUGUUUCUUUUUUCUUUUUUCUUUUUUUUGAGACAGAGUCUCACUCUGUUGCCUAAGCCAGAGUGCAAUGGCCUGAUCUUGGCUCACUGCAGCCUCCUCCUCCCGGGUUCAAGCGAUUCUCCUGUCUCAGCCUCCUGAAUAGCUGGGAUUACAAGUGUGCGCCACCAUGCAGGGCUGAUUUUUGUAUCUUUAGUAGAGACGGAGUUUUGUCAUGUUGGCCAGGCUGGUCUCAAACUCCUUACCUCAAGUGAUCCACCACACCCAACCCAGAGUGGGUUUCCUACCAGAUACCACACUUAGCUUACACUUCCCUCCUUUAGGCCUAACAAGCCUUAGUGGACAGCAUCAAUUACGGAGCAGGGCACUGGGGCUCAGAGUUAAGGCCAUCACGGCUCAAGACCAUCAGGUGUGGCAGACGCUCAACUGCUCUCUGUGUGUGCCUAAGACGUGAUCUUGGCAGGAUUUUUCUUAAUCUUUUAAUUUAUACCUUCUGUGAAAAUAAACAUUUAGAAAUUGUAAAAUAUUAAAAUGAGUAUCUGAAUAAUAAUGAGGUACUCAGGGUGAAGCAUGUAUGUCAUAAUUUUCUAAGUAUACGAAUAGCAUAUUUUUUUUUCUUUUUGAGACAGAGUUGCUCUGUUGCCUAGGAUGGAGUGGAGUGGCGCGAUCAUGGCUCACUACAACCUCUGCCUCCUGGGUACAAGCGAUUCUCUUGCCUAAGCCUCCCGAGUAGCUGGGAUUACAGGCACAUGCCACCACGUCAGGCUCAUUUUUUUAUUUUUAGUAGAGAUGGGGUUUCACCAUGUUAGCCAGGCUGGUCUCGAAUUCCUGACCUCUGGUGAUCCGCCUACCUUGGCCUCCCAAAGUGCUGGAAUUACAGGUGAAAGCCACCGCGUCCGGCAAUAGCAUCAUAUUGUAAACUAUGAGCAACUAACUCUAAGAACCUACUGAUGGUCACUAAGUUCCACUGAAACAAAAUGGAGUUUAAAAAUUAAUGCAUUUUGUUUCUUCCCAUUUUUUGAUUUUCUUAGUAUGAUUCAUUUUCAUAAGAAAAUAAAACACUGAGAAAAAAAUGACAUAAAUAUGAAAAUUACAUCUUUUGCAGGAUCAUCUUUUAAGUUGAUAAUAUAAAAGGCCACCUUGGCCAUCUGCGGUGGUUCACACCUGUAAUUCCAGCAUUUUCAAAGGCGGAGGUGGGUGGAUUGCUUGAGGCCAGGAGUUUAAGACCAGCCUGGCAACAUGGUGACACCCUGUCUCUAUGGAGAGAGAGAGAAAAAAAAAAAGCACCUCCAAGGGUAUGUUAAGUGUUUGUAUUUUCAGGACUCUAACUUGUAUAAAAACAAUCAAGGCAGAACAAAAUCAAUACAAGACAAAAUAAAAGACAUAUGUAUUACAUAAAAGAACUAAAGAAUUUAAAGAACGCUUGACAUAGACAAAUCUAAUAGAAAAUUGCAAUUAUGAUAUGUAGUAAAUGCUUCCAUCUGUUCUGGAGAGCCACACUUCUAAAAUUUAUGGGUUCUAACUGGUUUACUACUUGUGACUAGCCUAGGGAAUAAAUGCCAAAUUUUACAAACAUUUCUUCCACUUUUGUGCUUUUCUAAAAACAAACAAAAAAUCCACAACUAAAUAAACAAAAUUAAAACUCCACCUGCUUUGAUUAUUUUAUGUACUUCACACACCUCUCUCCAAAGCAAAAGGGAAAGCUAACUGAAAUCCGAAUCAUUAAAUCUGGGUUUUUCAUUAACAUUUCCCCCAACUAUUCUAGAAGCAAAGGAUACGUAAUAGAUAAACAAGAAGAAAAAUGCAUUUAAAACCUUAAGGGGGCCGAGUGCAGUGGCUCACGCCUGUUACCCCAGUACUUUGGGAGGCUGAGGAAGACGAAUCACGAGGUCAGGGAAUCGAGACCAUCCUGGCCAACAUGGUAAAACCCCAUCUCUACUAAAAUACAAAAAAUUAACCGGGCGUGAUAGCACGUGCCUGUAGUCCCAGCUACUUGGGAGGCUGAGGCAGGAGAAUCGCUUGAACCCGGGAGGCAAAGGUGAGCUGAGAUCGCACCACUGCACUCCAGCCUGGGCAACAGAGAGAGACUCCGUCUCAAAAAAAAAAAAAGGGAGAGGUAUAUGGAAUUGUUUAUACUGACCAAAGGUUUACACAAUUUAAAGCUUUUGCGCUUCUGGCUUGAAUGUGUUUUCCCUUCAGGUGGUAUUGGCUUUGUAGACCCAGCACUCCAUCCAAGCUUAUCUAUGCAGCCUGCUCACAGGCUCCUGUAUACAGGCGCACUGUCAUGAAAUUAGCACUUCUACCCAGCUGAAGCCUAGCACCCAAGCCCCAAGAACUUUCUACCAGAAAGCUUUGUGAGCAAGCCCUGAGGAUCACAAAGGGUUACCCAACAUUUUUUCUAAAUGUAUCUUGUAGCUAUAGUGUUCUGACUUGAGAGCUGACAGUAUAUGCUGCCCACUAGAUUUUUAGAAGAAUUUAUCAAGAAAAGCUCAGCUGGGCGCGGUGGCUCACGCCUGUAAUCCCAGCACUUUGGGAGGCUGAGGCGGGCGGAUCACGAGGUCAGGAGAUCAAGACCAUCCUGGCUAACAUAGUGAAACCCCGUCUCUACUAAAAAAUACAAAAAAUUAGCCGGGCGUGGUGGCGGUCGCCUGUAGUCCCAGUUACUUGGGAGGCUGAGGCAGGAGAAUGGUGUGAACCCAGGAGGCGGAGCUUGCAGUGAGCCGAGAUCAUGCCACUGCACUCCAGCCUGGGCAACAGAGUGAGACUCCGUCUCCAAAAAAAAAAAAAUAAAAUAAAAUAAAGAAAGAAAAGCUCAGCUUAGAUGUGGUAUCUGGUUUUAAGUGAGAUUCUGGCUUUUUGUGUGUGUGUGAUGGAGUCUCACUCUGCCAACAGGCUGGAGUGCAGAAGUGUGAUCUCAGCUCACUGCAACCUCCACCUCCCAGGUUCAAGCGGUUCCUUUGCCUCCGUCUCCUGAAUAGCUGGGACUACAGGUGCGUGCCACCAUGCCCAGCUAAUUUUCUGUAUUUUAGUAGAGACGAGGUUUCAGUAUGUUGGCCAGGAUGGUCUCGAUCUCUUGACCUCGUGAUCUGCCUGCCUCAGCCUCCCAAAGUGCCAGGAUUACAGGCGCGAGCCACUGCACCCAGCUGACUCUGGCUUUUUGUACAAGUUUCCCAUUGAGCUGUCUGUGGCACAAGGAGGUAAAGUGAAUUGCCAGUGGUCACACACAUAUAAUUUCAACCCAGAUGAGAAACCAUAAACUUCCUGGCUUUUUAUGCUACUCUAAAUAGUGAAUAAAUGCUCUUAAAAAAUUAAUAAGGACACUCCAAAUCGGGAGUUCUCAAAAUGUGGGCCUCAGACCAGCAGCAUCAGCAUCACCUGGAAACUUUAGUGAGAAAUGCAAAUUUUGGGCCAGGCGCGGUGACUCAUGCCUGUAAUCCCAGCACUUUGAGAGGCCGAGGCGGGCAGAUCACGAGGUCAGGAGAUCAAGACCAUCCUGGCUAACAUGAUGAAACCCUGUCUCUCCAAAAAAAAAAAAAAAAAAUUAGCCGGGAGCGCCUGUAGUCCCAGCUACUCAGGAGGCUGAGGCAGGAGAACCGCGUGAACCCGGGAGGCGGAGCUUGCAGUGAGAUCGUGCCACUGCACUCCAGCCCAGGCGACAGAGUGAGACUCCGUCUAAAAGAAAAAAAAAGAAAAAAAUGCAAAUUUUGGACCCUAUCUCAGACCUACUGAGUCAGAAACUAUGGGAACGGAACCCAACAAGGCAACAUGACUCUGAUGAGUGAUCAAGUUUGAAGACCACUGAGCAAGAAGUUUCUGCCCAAAUAAGAAGUCCAUUAACAGUAAAAAGAAUUUUUUUUCACAACUUUAAAAGUGAUUUCAAUGUAACAUUCUAAGUAAAAUAUUUCUGCCAUACAAUCAGAGUUGAAAUGUUAAUAUUUAGCACAAUGAUAAAUUUAGAACUUAAUGUCUCCUCAGAACUCUUACCCAUCUUUUACAUUAUUUGUCUUAGUGGCAUUUGCAGCAUGGAGAGAAAACAAAAGAAAGUUAUGAGAUGAAAACUGCACAGUAUUCUGGAAAAAAAAGUAAGUAGGGAUAGGGGAGAUAAAUAAUGCUUCUACCUUAAGGAAAAUGCACCAUAUUUCAUUAAAUCUCAGAUAGCACUGAUGACUAGCACGCCAACUAACUAUUAAGAAAGAGAAAAAUGUCAUGAUACAGUAUUAAGACACCAUCAAUUACAAGGGUAAUCCCAAUUUCAGUGUUACUGAGCUGGCAGAAAAAAAGUGAAUCUUAGAAUUGAUGAAAUACGGUAUAUGUGAAAAUAAAGGCAAUGUGUGCAAAAUCAAAUACACAUGGAAAAUGUCUUUCUGAAUUAUCAUUAAGGAAGAGAAAGACUACGGUUGGUGGAAUUUUAUUCUAAGGCACUACAAAGGACUUUAAAAUGUGACAGGGAAGAAAAAAAAGAUGACUAAAUCAUUAGACUUUUAAAGUAUUUUAAGAAACAUCAAAGAUUUAACAGGAGUUACUUUUUGAAUACUAACCUUUGAAACACAAUCUAUCCUUGGCACUCCUUCAGGCUUUAAUCCAAUUAUCUAAGGUUAAGAAAUAGUGAUAAAUUUAAACUUCACGUAAGUAUGCAAUGGAACUUCCUCCCUCUGUUGCUGGGAACAAGGGGUGAAGACUUUGAGAUUAACACCAAGUCUGUAUACAUCUGCCUUUUACUUUAAUCUUAUUUGAGGGUAUUAAAAUGAACUUUUAAAUAAAAUAACUUCAGCAAUCAGAUAUCUUAUUACUGUACUGGGGCAAUUUAGAAAAUAAAUAAAUUACCAAAGAAUUAAAUGAAACAAAAGUACCCUUUGCUACCCUUAAAAUAUGAAACAGACAGAAACCCUUAAAUCUAAUUAUUAAUAUUUAUAUGAACAAAUAAUUUAAUGUAUAUAAUAAGAACUGCAGAAGCAUAAUAAUUAACUGUUCUUCACAAAACUAUAUCAGGUCACACUCUCCGUGUUUCCAUGAGGGCCCCACUGAGCCUCACUGUAUCUCACAACCCAUCUGCUCCCCAAAAGGCACACACUGGGAGAGCCCUAUUUUAAGACUCCUUUCGUGUAUGUAGCUGACAGAACUGAAUAAACUCACAUAUUUAUACAUUUUGUGAGAUAAUUUUUUGGCAUUCUGAAUUUAUACACAGUUUCCACGUGAAUGCACGUAAAAUCUAAAUAUUCCUCUCAAAAGACAAGUAUUGUUGCGUCCUAACUGGGAACUAUACUGGUAUGAAACCUCCUGCUACACUACGUAAGCUCAUCUCAUCAAUGAUUCCUGUGUGUCUGAUGCUGUCCUCCUGACAAAGCCAUGCCCUGAGUCAUCAGCAAGCAUGGUCUCAGGCCAUUAUCAUUCAAGGAGACCAUCUUGAGAAAGAAAACAAACCCAGAAGGUUGAUCCUCUCCUGGCUUUCUACUGGGAACAAAUGUUCAGCAAUCUAGAUGUCGUGAGGAUACUUCUAGUAGACUGGGAUUACAAAAGGCAUCUCUGUUAAAACAAACUUAAUUCAUUUUAUAAACUAGAUCAUCUAGUUUCACAUUACUUUCAGCUUACUUUGUUAACUUCAAUUCUUAAUUCUGAAUAAGGUCUGGUUGAAACAUUCCACUAAUCAUUUACUGAGCACCUAGAAUGCUAUGGGACAAUCUGGAAGCUGUCAGUUGUCCAAGGCCUCCCAAAGGGAUGAAGCAGAGGUUGGAGGGGUGUCAGUCUGGGCACCUCAGGGCCUAGCUGGUUCUCCCUACAGGGAAGCUUCUUAUUUAGCAGUGCCAACUUCAAAAGAUCCAAAUUUUACUUUUAUUAGGGAUGGUGGCAAUUUGCUCACCAAUGAUGACUUUAGUGAUUCAUAAACUCAUGAUUUUGAGAAGUCUACACCUGUUUUAAAUGACCAUGAAUGACUUCACUCUUCAAGGGAGACCUUGCAGGCCUCAAAACAGUAAGCGCAUCAGAACACAACUCUGAAGUACAUUUACAGAGCAGCAAGGCACGGGGGCUAGGGAUCACUUCAUGACUCAAGAAAAGCCGUAUCAUCUUCCUUUGCACAAUGACCCUAAUUCAUUACUCCUGUCACACAGAGAACAUUAGCUUCUUCCUUUGCUCAUUACUAUACAAUUUAGGCACCCUUCUGUAAAACAGCAAAAUGCUGCUACUUUGGAUACAACUGCAACAUCCCACUGAACUCGUUAGAAUGGGAUUUUAUUUGUAUUUCUGUUAUCUAAUUACAUAUAUAUAUACUGAUACUAUAAAACUAUGCUUUGCUACUAUUUCGAAAAAGUUAAUAAGUUUAAACUUUAUGGAGUCUGUGGAAUUUUAAAUUAUUUUACAACACAGGAUUCACAGAUGAGCACUGCACCCUAACAAGUCUCUGCUUUGGUUAUGACAAGGAGAACAUUUGCCCCUUGGAGCAUUAAUGUGUGCUGGAAUGCAUGUAGCUAUUUCCAAAGAAGAAAAGUUUAAAAGUUACUUUAACUCCUUACUCCAUGAUUAAUCUAUGAACCUCUUUUUUUUGCCAUAUAAACUUUCUUCCAGUGAUCAAUAAACAUUACUGCUAGUCUUUAAAGCAAGCUACCCCCCAAAUGAUAACUUUUAAUAAGGAAGGCAUUAACCCAACCACAACAAUCUAAAAAUAGUUGCCUCCUUAAAAGAGAAUAUUAGAAAAAAGCAGCAGCAGAGGUAAAAUAUGUACGUACUCUGUUCAUUUUCACAAGAAUACAAGGGUUUCCUUGAGAAUAGCCAAAAUCAGGAUCAUUCAUACCACUGCAUGCUUGAAGUAAUGAAAUAGGAAACUGACAUGCAACAUAAACUGGACCCUUCUGUUCAAAAAGUGCUCCAUCAGGACAGACUGUGAGGUUCUUCUGUUCUUCUAAAGUAUAUGCUAAAAAGGAAACAUAUAUGUGUGCUAGAUCAGCCAAAAAAGGUACUAAAAACAACCAGGAAUAUAUUAACCUUUGGAAAAUGUUCUUCAAAGACAAAAACAGCAAUGUAAAUUACCAGAUAACUUUAGGGAAAGAAUGUUAAGUUUGCCCCUUUACCUUUUAACAGCUAACUAGUUCUCUAAAGUUACUGCAUUUCAAUAAUCAUACAAACUGGAUUAUAGAUCCAUCUCUUCUGUCACCAUUAGGUGGCAGUACCAGCCAUGGCUAAAGCAUUAUCUGAAUGCCUUCUGCAUGCUUGGUGAUACAAUGGAGAGGAUGUAAAAAGGCACUGCUGCUGCCCUCAUGGAGCUUACGGUUUUGUGGGGAAGAGAGUCAUUAAGUGAGUAUAAAAUCAGAAUUGCAGAGGUAUGAAGAUGUAGUGUUAUGACAACCUACACUAAAAAAAAAAAAAGCAACUGAGCUGAAUGCAGAAGGGUAUGUGGGAGUUAAUGAAGCUAGGAGAAGCACUUCCAAUGAAGGAAGGUAGAAGCCAGACCAUAUAGAGUCUUGUAAACUAUGUUAAAGAAUUUUGAGGGGUGUGGGUGGGUGUUUUGCCAAACAUCAAUUAACAAUCCACUAAAAUGUUUUAAACCAGGGCAAGUGGAUAGUAUGAACAUACUUAGGAAAUUAACUCUGACUUUUCUGUGGAGUCAGUCCAGAAGGGAAAAAGAAAGGAUCCGGAAAACAAGUUAGGAGACUAUUAAAGCCGCCCAGGUGAGAGACUAGCUCAUAGAAGGGGGUUUUUAGCAGAGAUGGAGUUUACAGUGAUAAAGGAGUAAAAUGGUUAGAACUUGGUAAUGGGAGGGAAGAGGGAGGAGAAAUAUGCAACAGACAAUACAAUUCUGCUCCGUACUUGGCACAGUGUUUAGCCCAAGAGGCACAAAGUGAGCAAGCCUGAUGUGACCCCUGCCCUCAAUUAACUUAAUCUAGUGGACAAUGCUUACUAAUAAAUAAUUAACAUAUGAUAUAACAGUGCCUCAGGAAGAACUAUUGGUGUGUGGGUGCAAUUGGUACCAGAAAAAGGUAUUGAAUUCAAUGAAAGUAAGAACCAGGCCAGGCGCAGUGGCUCAUGCCUGUAAUCCCAGCACUUUGGGAGGCCGAGGCGGGUGGAUCACGAGAUGAAGAGUUCAAGACCAGCCUGGCCAAGAUGGUGAAACCACGACUCUACUAAAAAUACACAAAAAAAUUAGCUGGGUGCGGUGGCAGGUGCCUGUAAUCCCAGCUACUCGGAUUCUACUGAGGCAGGAGAAUCGCUUGAACUCAGAGGGCGGAGGUUGCCACUGCACUCCAGCCUGGGCGACACAGUGAGGCUCCAUCUCAAAUAAAUAAAUAAAUAAAUAAAUAAGAACCAAAUUUCAAAGAGUAUGCCUCAAAAAGGAAGUGUAAAGUCUUUACCUUGGGGGAAAAAAAUCACUGUCAAAAUGUUUGGUUUCAUCUUAUACUUACCAGAAACUAGGUUACUGUGGGACUAUGUACUCAUUUAAAAGCAAAGAAUGAUUCAGGUAUUUUGUGGGGGUAGAGAUAAACUUUAUAACAAAACAGCAUCAUGACAUCCAACACUUUGCAAAAAAAUAAGCCCUUCACCAAUUUCCCCAAGGGCUUCUACUGCAUAGACUCUGUUGGUAUAGGUCAGUUCAUCAGUGACCUUGCUUUUUUAUUAUGCUGACUUCCACUUCCAUACUAUUAAGUGUAAGGAACUGUGUGAUGACCAGUAAGAUUAUGCAGAAGGCAUGAUGGGAACAUAGAAAGGUCACUGACCCCAGAGUAACCAAGGAGCCCUAUGCAUCUGAAGAACGCCUAAAAUAAGAAAGACCAAAGGCCGAGCGCAGUGGCUCAUGCCUGAAAUCCCAGCACUUUGGGAGGCUGAGAUGGGCAGAUUACUUGAGGCUAGGAGUUUGAGGCCAGCCUGGCCAACAUGGUGAAACCCUGUCUCUACUAAAAAUACAAAAAUUAGCCAGGUGUGGUGGCGCAAGCCUGUAAUCCUAGCUGCUUGGAAGGCUGAGGCAUGAGGGUCGCUUGAACCCAGGAGGCGGUGGUUGCAGUGAGCUGAGAACAAGCCAUUGUACUCCAGCCUGGGCAACAGAGUAAGACUGUCUCAAUGAAGAAAAAAAAAAAAAAAGACCAAGAUAACUGGAGGAAUGAAUGACCCUAAAGGAAAGAGAUAAUUGGAACAAAAUAAAACUUUUUAAGUCCAAUUAGUAUCUGCAGGAAAAAAAAUAGAGAAGACAUUAUUUUUUAACCAGAUAUAUUAUAGUAUCUUUCAAACAUGAAAAAGGAGGGCAUAAGGAUUGACAGCAGUCGAACGUUUUAAAAACCAAAAAGGAGUUGAAAAUUAAAGUAAACCCCCAGAAAGUCUAAUUAAGUAAAAACAAAGUAAGAGAAAAACAAGAGGUCUAAGACCCAACAAACAGAAUAGUUCUAGAAAGAAAAAACCAGAAAAUUGAGUUGAGGAAAUUAUCAAAGUGGUAACAGAGGAUAAUUCCCCUGAACUGAAGAACUUAAGUCUUCAUCCUGAAAAACCUGCAGUCAAGUCUCAGCAAAAUACUUUAGAGACAGAAAUCCAGAUAGAAAUUUUAGAAUCCAAAAGAGAUAAAGAAAAUUGAAAAAAAAAAUGAAAAACUUUCAGAGAAGAGAAAAGGCAAAUUACAAAGAACUGAGUUCUAUAUGGAGAUAAACUAGCAAAUAUAAAGGCAGAAAUAAGCCAUUUUCAGAAAUAAAAGGGUUCAAAUUUACAUUUCAGGUGUCUUUUCUUAUAAAAUUACUUGAGAAUGUACUCCAUCAAAACUAAGGAGUAAAUUAAGAGAAAAAAUAAAAAUAAUUAAAAAAAAGGGGGGGGCAGGGCAAGAGCCAAGAAACAGUGGGUCCAACUAAAGAAAGUGGUAAAAGGAAGUUCCCCAAAGGACAGUUGGGAGUAAAAGGCUGAUGUAGAAACAGUAGAGUGCAGCAGGAGGGAAAGGGCUCCAGGAAGGAGUUUUCCAGAAAAGAGACUCAAGAAAAUACCUCAAAUGAUAGUUUACAAAUAAGGAAGUCAGAAGAGAGUAUCUAUAGAUGAUAAAAGAAGAUAUAAAGACCAAGUAUAAAAAGGCAACCAAUAAUGAAACUAAAAAUAGUAAAUCAAUUAUUAUUGAGUUGAGAAAGGAGGGAAGGUCUGAGACAUGUGAACUAAGAAAAUGUAUAAAAGUGAUAAAUAAUAAUUAAUAAAGAAAAGUGAUAAUGUAGAAAAGUAAAAAGUCAAGAACCAGCAGGAAAAGUGUAAUAUUUAUAGAUAUGGAAGAAAAACACCGUAAGAAAAAGUUCAGAAGCAUGAAGUUAAUUCCCUAUCAAAAACACAUCCAAAGGCCAGGUGCUACUGUAACUCACGCCUGUAAUCCCAGCACUUUGGGAGGCGGAGGCAGGUGGAUCACUUGAGGCCAAGAGUUCAAGACCAGCCUGGGCAACAUAGCAAGACCCCAGCUCUACAAAAAAUUAAAAAAUUAGCCAGGCGUGAUGAUGUGAGCCUGUAUUCCUAACUACUCAAGAGGCUGAGGCAGGAGGAUCACUUGAGCCCAGGAGACUGAGGCUGCAGUGAGCUGUGAUUGUGCCACUGGGUGACAGAGAGAGACCCCAUCUCAGACAAAUAGACAAAGGAAAGAAAGAAAAAAGAAAUGUGUCCAGAAUCAGACUAUUUUUCACAACCUUCAUUGCUCUCUCCCUUGCCAAGCCACCAUCUCCACUUACCUAGAUUAUUGUAAUAGCCUAACUGGCUUCCCCAAUUCCCCCCUUCUAGUCUAGUUUCAAAGAGAAGCCUGCAGGAUCCUUUAAAAAUUUGAAUUAGAUCAUGUUAUUGUUCACUGCUUAAAAUCCCUCAUCAUGGUCACUGUAAAAGCCAAAGAACUUAACAAUGGGUUCUAAGGACCUACAGUCUGGAUCUCCUUUAACUCCCUAACCUCAGUCUCCUACUGCUCUCCCCUGGCUCACUCCAUUCAGCCCCUCUCACUUCCUUGAUGAAUCUUCAACACAUCAGCACCAUAAGCCUCAGGGCCUUUGCACCUACUGCUUCCUGUGCUGGACAUUUCCAGGGCUAGUUCUUUCACCUCCUUCAGCUCUUCCCUCAAGGUUCCCUUUCCAUAAGGCUUUCCCAGACCACUCUGCAUGUAAAAACCACAAUCCUUCCCAACUUACCCUAUCUCCUUUUUCUGUUUUAUUUUCCCCCUCAGGAUGUACUAUCUUCUAAUUCACCAUGAGUCUAAGCUCCAGAAAGACAGGAAUUUUUCUUCUGUUCAUUGCUGGAACCCAAAUGAGUGCCUGCCACAAAGCAGGCCCUCAAAAAAUAUGUCAAUAAAUUAAUAGGACUUCUGCUGGAAGGGAGGAGGGCAGGGAACACUUCAUUGCAGACCUUUUAAAGCUAUUAAACCACGGAUAAUACUUUCACAAAAGUCUUUUUUAAAUAAUGAGUACAUAUUUAACUGUCAAGGAAAAGAGACUUAGGAAGACAGCUAGUAGAUAAUGUGGGAUCAGAAGCAGCUUUUGGUUUAAGAUAGGAGAGAGUUGAAGAUUUUUUCAAGUUGACAGGAAGGAUCCAAUACAGACAGAAAGGCUAAAUACACACAAGAAGAGAGAGUACACAGUAUGUUUCUGAGACACUGAGAGAGGAUGAGAUCCAAAGCAGGAGUGACACAGGUGGCCUCAGGUGAAAGGAAGGGCAGCCCCCAGUCAGAGCAGGAAGAAUGUGACAGACAAAAUGGCUGCCAUUGUAGAUUUGUUUUACUGGUAAUGGGGAAACUGGAGGAGCUCCCAUCUGAGUUCUUCUAUUAUCUCUUGAAGCAAGAAAUCAGGUUAUAUGAAGAGAGUGAGUUGUAAGGAAAAAGGUAAGGGGUUAGAGGCUUGAGUGAAAGUUGGAAAUAAUCCUUUCAGAGAAUUAUCCAGAGAAAUUCCAUAGGAUUACCAGGCAGUUAAGCAAGUCCAUUUGAGGGAGGUGCUCAAGUACUCACAGUGCUAAUUAGUCCUGCUCAGUAUCUGCUCAGGGGCAGGGGCACAGAAGGAUGAGCUACAUCCAGUAAUUAUAUGGCUUUAUCCAGGAGUGGGGUACUCCCACAGGGUGUGACAUGAAGACUGAGAGGUCUGGGAUUUUAGAGCACCAGUAAAAGUAAAAAUGAAAUAACAACCAUGGAAUUAAGCUACAUAAAAGGGAAGACGGGGUGGGAGAUGAGAUAAAGUAAUGUUCUAGGGAGCAGUUGCAGGUGUCUGUGGCUGAGGAAGAGAUGAGCUGAUCAUGAACCAGCAGGCCAGGACAUUCGAUGAUUACUCAUGUGACUGUUAACACCAUUCACAUAAAUGGCUCGGCCAAGCAAAACAGGAGGAAAAACUGGGCUAGGAUGGCUAUCAAAGAGCGUUACAAACUGGUAACUUUGAAAAACGGAUGUAUUAAAAAUCAGACACAGACAUAACUUUAAAAUAAUAAACAUAAUUUCCCAUCCCCCAAGCAAGCACUACAUUGGAAACCUGCACGUUGUGCACACGUACCCUAGAACUUAAAGUAUAAUAAAAAAAAAAAAAAAAAAAAAGAAUGCCUGGCACAAAAAAAAAGAUUCUUCCUUCUCAAUAACUAUACUGACCUAUUUCAAAUUCAACAUAAAUGUAUAUCAGCUACAAAAAAAAAGAAAUAAAAUAAAAUGGCAAAAAAAAAUCCAAGUCCUCAGAGACACUAUUUCAUAAAAUAUAGAUUUGCUCUAUUAAUUAAAAUAUUUAGUUUUAAUGCAGAAUAAAUGUUACAUUUCAAGAAAUUUAGUGUCCUUAUUAUAAGACAGAAAAAUCAAAUCUACUACCCAUGAGUAAGCCCCUGUGUCUUUCUAUAGUUAGAACAGUCUCACAAGUAAUUAUAAAAUGCACUUGCUCAGUUGUCUGCUUAACAGAAGGAAAUAGAAGGUAAUACACAUUCUAAGAAUGAUGUGUCUAAAUGUAAUCACAACUUGGGACUCUUUUUUUUUUUUUGAGACGGAGUUUCGCUCUUGUUGCCAAGGCUGGAGUGCAAUGGCGCAAACUUGGCUCACUGCAACCUUUGCCUCCCAGGCUCAAGCGAUUAUUCUGCCUCAGCCUCCCGAGUAGCUGGAAUUACAGGCGCGUGCUACCACGCCCAGCUAAUUUUAUAUUUUUGGUAGAGAUGGGGUUUCACCAUGUUGGCCAGGGGUUUCACCAUGUUGGCCAGGUCCAAGACCUGGCUCCUAACCUCAGGUGAUCUGCCCGCUUCGGCCUCCCAAAGUGCUGGGAUUACAGGCGUGAGCUACCGUGCCCGGCCCACAAUUUGGUACUAAUUUCUAUAACUAAAAUCUCUGACCUUACUCUAAGAAAACAUACUCACGUUUUAGAAACUUCUUAAGGUCUUCAAUGUACCCUGCAUACGAAGUUGGAUCAGACCUACUGAAUGUAUAUUCCAAUGCGGUCACUGGUUUUGGAAAAACCAUGAGUCCUAUAAAGACAUAAAAGGGAGAGAUUAUCAAAUUUCCUUCUCUUCUUUUCCUUCCUCUUAUCUCUAAAAAGCAGAUCUCAGCAAAUUACAUGGAAAAUUGUGUUGACAGUAUGCUGAAACUAUCAAGAACUUCCCAAUUCUAAUUAUGAAGGCAUAGACAUCUAAAAUUAAAAAUAACUCAAACCUUCAAAACCAUCUCAGACAUUACCGAUUAGAAACUGUCCCUAAAUUUGGUUAUCUACAGUUAAUUAUAAUCUUCCUUUUUAAAAGAUGCAAUUUUACUUUGAACUUUCUAUAUGCAUUUUUAAAAAAUCAAAUAACAUUUUUAGGUUUUGUCAAUGUGCCAUUAAUACAAGGAAAAAAAUUUGAGCAAAUCAAAGCCUACGUACUUUUGUCAUUUAAAUUGUAUGGAAACAUUCAUAAGACAGCUAACUCCUUUUCAAUGAAAAAGGUCUAUGCAUUUUAAACUUUAUGGCAAAUAUUCUUCCUUCAAUAGCAGAUAUUGCUCUGUAAUUAAAAUGUGGUUUUCACAUACUGAAUUUGGAGUAUAACCACCAACAAUUUCCUAUCAGAAGUUGACACCCAUGUAAUACAGACCAUGUUGCUUAAGCUUACUAAUGAAGAUAAGGCAAGCAAUCAGGCUUCCAACUUUAAUGUAAGUUUUCCUUGUUUAAAAAGCAUUAGAUCAGCUGCGUGCAGUGGUUCACACCUGUAAUCCUGGCACUUUGGGAGGCCGAGGCUGGCGGAUCACUUGAGGUCAGGAGGUCGAGACCAGCCUGGCCAAUAUAGUGAAACCCCAUUUCUUCUAAAAAUACAAAAAUUAGGUGGGUGUGGUGGUGCAUGCCUGUAGUCCCAGUUACUUGGGAGACUGAGGCAGGAGAACUGCUUGAACCUGGGAGACAGAGGUUGCAGUGAGCCGAGAUCGUGCCAUUGCACUCCAGCCUGGGCGACAGAGCGAGACUUCGUCUCAAAAAAAAAAAAAAGCAUUAGAUCUAGAUUAAUUCAACCUUGCACAUAGGCUUUAAAACAAUCCUAAAAUUUUCUCUAGCCUUCAAACAUUCCCAUAUUUAAUAUAUCACACAUGUACAUAUAAUACAUAUUAUAUGUAUAUAAUAUACAACACAUAAAUACAUAUUAUAUAUGUAUUACAUGUACAUGUGAUAUAUUAAAUAAGGAAAUGUUUAAUAUGUCCCAUAUGUAAUAUAUAUGUAUUAUAUGUACAUGUGUAUGCAUGUAUAUUUAUUUAAACUAAUGAUACUUUAAGUACUAAAAUAAUCGACAAAUAAUUUUAAGAAACUCAGUUUAAAAACUGUGUACUUAAAAAUAUUUAACACAUAUGCUUAUAUAUUUCAUGCAAUUAUAAACAGAGUUCAGUGUUUUUGAAUAGAUCAGACUAUGUUCAAUGGUAAGUCACAUCACUUAAAUAGCAAGUAAAGAAUAAUCUUAGAAUUAGUCUGAGGUAGAAAAAAACAGUGCUACAAUGAGAGAUGAAGGAAAAGUAGCAUGGAACUAAUCUCUGACACUUGCUCCAAUACACUAAGAGUUUUAAAAGAGUUAUUCAAGACAUUUAGACUAAGAUUAGCUGUAAACAAAAGAAAUCAUUAGAAAAAAAUUGUUCUAGGAAAAAAAAUGGUUGAGACAAUUAGUUCAGUUUGGCUGGUGAUAUAGCUCAGAAGUCUAUACAGUGAGCAAGGAUCUAGAUAAGGGCACUUCCAUCUCAGCAUUAUUGGCAUUUUGGGCUGAAUAAUUCUUUGUUGUGGGGGUUGCCCUAUGCACUGUAGGAUGUUUAGCAACAUCCCUGGCCUCUAUUCACAGUACCACCUCUCUAGCUGUAACAACCAAAAAUAUUUCCAGACGCUGCCAUAUGACUCAGUGGUUGAAAACCACUGCUCUAGAGAGAAACCUGCUAGACUCCCACCUUCCUGGCCCGAUUCCCCACUCUCCUGCCCUCUAAAUCCCACUCCUCUAGGACUGAACUUUCUUCUUUAGGUAGAACCUUCCCUUCUCUGUCAUCUAUAGCAGUUAGUUUACAGUCUUUGGAAUUAUACACACUGAAGUUCUGCACAUUACUGUUUCUUACUUUUCUAAUUAUCAGCAUCUGAGGACAAGGGUCAUGUCCAGUCACCAAGGGAGAGCUGGCAUUCAAAGACUGUUUAGGCCAGGUGUGGUGGCUCACCCCUGUAAUCCCAGCACUUUGGGAGGCCGAGGCGGGUGGAUCGCCUGAGGUCAGGAGUUCGAGACCAGCCUGGCCAACGUGGUGAAACCCCGUCUCUACUAAAAAUACAAAAAAUUAGCUGGGCGUGGUGACACAUGCUUGUAAUCCCAGCUCCUUGGGAGGCUGAGGCAGGAGAAUCGCUUGAACCCGGGAGGCAGAGGUUGCAGUGAGCCGAGAUCACACCAUUGCACUCCAGCCUAGGCAACAGGAGCAAAGCCCUGUCUCAAAAAAAAAAAAAAAAAAAAAAAGACUGUUUAAAAAGAAUAAAAUCAGGAGGUAGAAAAUGUGGUUUAGAUGUUUCAGUUUUUUACUGCAUACAUUCUCCUGUAUAAUGAAUUUUUUUUCCAGAAGAAAAUCAAGAAGAAUUAAACAUAUGAAGAGUAUAUUCAUUUUGUUCUCUAUGAGGUAUCAUUAUUUAACAACUUACCAAUUUCAUAACUAACCAUUUAGAACGACAAAGUAUGUAUUUUAUAAGUCCAAAGCUCUAACUGAAGCUAGUGCCAAAAUAUAUACCUUAAUUACUCAAGGCAAAGUAAAACUGCUCUACGAUACUCAUAAGUCACUCAUAACUAUAACUAUAUUCUUCAAACGUGGCUUUUACUAGAAUUCUCAAUAUUCAUUUGCUUACUUCUGACAAAAAAAAAAAGAAACCGAAACAAACAAAACAAACCCACUCAAACUCUCAAGAUUUAUCAGUAUAUAAAUGUGAAGGUCUUUAAAUCAGUAUGUAAAUAUUAAACAACAACAACAAAAAUUAAAACCUUCACAUUACUCAGCUCCAAGGUUUAGCUAUCUUCUAUCUGCUAUAUAAAACAGAUUUAUGGUGAAGAUAAACUAUAACUCAAUUUUGUUAAAAGCCGUAACCACUGCCAGGCACAGUG